AUGGGAGGGCUCUGGUGUCCGGAAUGGAGGUUUGUAACUUUGUGUGGUCAGCGCUGGAGUCAGCCCUGGUGGUCAGGGAGGAUUGUGAUGAACUUGGAGCUGGUUCUUAGCCCCUCCCCCUGCCCCCCGUCCCCCCCCCCCCCCCCCGCACCUGCCCCCUCCGUGGAAAGAGCUCGGAGGAGUGGAGCGGGGACUGAGACGCCUAGGGACAUGGAAGCGCCUGAGCGAGCACAGCCCAGAGUCCCACAGCCUGCUGCCUGUGCAGCCUUCAAGGUAGCUGAGAAGCAGCAACCCUUUCCAGUGCUCACAGGAUGAUGAGUGGCAGUGGAGGAACGAGACAGUGCUCACAUACAUGGCCAUGGCCGCCGUGGGCAUGCUAGGGGCCUCCUAUGUCGCGGUGCCCCUUUAUAGGUUCUACUGUCAGAAUACUGGACUUGGAGGAUCAGCAGUGGCCGGGCACUCAUCAGACCAGAUUGAAAACGGGGUGCCUGUUAAGGAUCGAUCAGUAAAGUCACCUUUAAUGUCCGUUUCCAGUGGAACUUCAGACCUCAGUGAACACAGUUCUAUGUGGUACCAGUAGAGACUGCACUGGCAUUUUAUAAAGCUAAGAAUCCUACUAACAAACCAGUAAUUAUAAUUUCUACAUAUAAUGUUGUACCGUUUGAAGCUGGCCAAUAUUUCAAUAAAAUACAGUGCUUCUGUUUUGAAGAACAAAGGCUUAAUCCACAAGAAGAAGUGGAUAUGCCAGUGUUUUUCUACAUUGACCCUGAAUUUGCAGAAGAUCUGAGAAUGGCGAAUGGCGAUCCCAUUACUCUUUCUUACCCCCCCCUUUUUUUUUUUGAAGCAAAGGAAGGGCACAAGUUUCCAGUUCCAAGCUAUAAUUAA
rnacentral:lncRNA from 1 species